rnacentral:rRNA from 1 species
GACAGAGGUGCCAAGCGUUAGGCGGAAUCACUGGGCUUAAAGCGUGUGUAGGCGGAAUUGUAAGUACCUUGUGAAAUCCCACGGCUCAACCGUGGAACUGCUUGGUAUACUGCUUUUCUUGAGCCACUUAGGGGCUACCGGAACAAAUGGUGGAGCGGUGAAAUGCGUAGAUAUCAUUUGGAACGCCAAUGGUGAAAACAGGUAGCUGGGAGUGUGCUGACGCUGAGACACGAAAGCCAGGGGAGCGAACGGG